ACCACAAAUUGUGUAAAAAAUGAACAAAUGGGAUAUAGCAUCUUAAAGCUCGUGUCCGGAGUUUCCGUUUGUUUUCAAUUUAUGUAUCAUUGUUUAACAAAGCUUAAAUGUGUUAGUCUAGUUCGAUACUAUAAUAUAAUGUUAGUAUGACGCGAUAUGAAAAUUUAUUCCUGAGCUCCGCCUUCCUCUCAUAGACCCCCAUGUUAUUCCAAAAAGCGCCGGUCGCUGCCGACCAAUCAAGUUCGAGCUUCAGCUUUGUCAUGCUGUCAAUCAACGGUUACGCGCACAGCAAGCAAGCCCAUGCAGAGGUGGGCGAGCUACGCACUACGCAACCGUGCGCACAUUUGUUUUGCUUGUGGAGGAGAGAGCAUAAGGGCUCAGCAACUUCCAGAAAAGCUACCAAUCCCACGGCUUGUCAGGCCAAGAGACUGCAGGACGUUUUUUGGCUCGGGGUGCUCGCGUCGCUCCCCGACCACGGCCUCCAUAGCCCGCCUGACGGCUUCGUUUAGAUGCCCGACCUCUGGAGGAAGAUGUUGGGGCGUCUGGGACAUACUCUUCGUCAGAGGAGUCAUGCAAUUCUGAACUCUAGAUAGAAAUAAAUAAACAAUGUAACACAUAUACACGCGUAAAUGCACUAAGUUUGAUAAACAACGUCAUCGAGAGGGAUACACGAGUGUAAUCACAUAUUGAAACUUUACUCGUUAGUCCUAGCAGAUUCAUGUUAUUUUGGUAUUAGGACAAGUUAGACUCAAUACAGCAUUCUAACGUAAUUCCUUUAUUAUUUACUAAAUGUACUAAAUGUAGAAGAGGGGAAAACAGCAAAACAGGCGAGAUGCUGCAGCACUCCGGGCACUUCUCUCAUGUACUGCGCGCGUGCACAAAUAAAGGGGCGAAAUCAGAGGGAGGGUGGGACCAACAGUGUUUUGGGAGAUGCUGCGAUUCAAACUCCGGACAC